rnacentral:tRNA from 1 species
AGGGACAUAGUUUAGCAGGUAGAGCACUCGACUGAUAUUCGAGAGGUCGCCGGUUCGAUUCCGGCUGUCCCUACCA